AGAGUCAAACUUUGACUCUGCACUGCAGCAACUAGUGUCAGACAGCACUAAAUUUGCUUUCUCUUUCCCUAUCUGCAAAAGGUGUUCUAGGGUAAUAAGAGUUAAACGCCUGCACCACCUCCACUUGCAAAGCUGAAGCAGCAUGAACGCCGCUGGAGAAACCGUCGAUGAGUCUUCCCAAGUGGUCUCGGCAGACGCGAGCCACCGCGCUGUCUUCUCUUCCCGUCGGAAAGGCCCCAUCAACAUGUACUUUCAGUGUUCCGAGCUCCGGUGGACUCCAAACCAGGUUCGAUCCAGAUCUGGACGCUGAUUUCUGAAGACAAAGUGAUUGCGCGCUUUCCAUAUUUGCCAGAGGAGUGAGGCGAGAACCUCCAAGUCAGGGCAGAUACGAUGCAGAAGCACGAGCCUGGGAAGUUAGAAGCCAAUGUGACAGGUGGGGAAGUUUAAAGCGUGAUCCUUUCUGGGGCGUCUCCUGAUCUGACUUUCAGCCCAACUACCUCUCAAAACCAUGCUUCUGCUCCGCAAUAAAUUGACUUGCAGUUGGCUUUUCAUCACUCGUUUUUUAUCCAAAGAGGACAUAGAAAAAUCCUCUGAAACACCUACGGUUGCUGGGAGUUUUAUGAUGCAGAUUCGCCAUGGAUGAUGAACCUCUCCUCCGCACACCGGGACUCACAGAGAUGUCGACGGUCAGGAGAGAUUUCCCUUAGGUUUUCCUUGAUCUCAACCUCAGCGGCCUCGGCACCAUGCCAAGGCGGCAAUCCGCCCCGCACCUCAUAACCAACGAUGCUAUCAUCCCCAUAAUCACGACGCGGCACUCUUCUCCCUUUGUGAAUCUCAUAGCCAACUUGACCAAGAAGAGACGACUCGCCCACCACUCCCACUUGGCUCCUUCCCAACUCACCUUUCACAAGGAGAGCACCAUCGACGGGGAGGACUCCUGGCCGUCCCUUAAAUGGACCCCUCUGUUUGUCCAGCGGGCAUUGUGGUAUACUUGACGAGCGGGAGUUUCAAAGGCACACCCACGUUCAACCCGGUCGAACCUCUGUACUUCACCGUGGUCACUCUUUGCACGACUGGCUUUGGCCAUGUCGUCCCUGACACGGCGUUCACAAAGCUGUUCAGUUGUGCUUUCAUACUGGUGGGCAUUGGAUUUGUCGGUGUGCUGCUUAACGGCAUGGUCACCUACAUCUGCGACUGGCUAGAGGCGGUUUUGCUGAGCACUGCGGGUCAAAACAAGUAAAAUGGGAUGUUCAGGACUUACAUGAUCGACAGAGAGAAGGGAAGGAUGAGAAUUAGGACGAAAGUGUGCGUGGCUUUGGCGGUUGUGAUUAGUUGCACAGCUAUAGGGACUAUCGUCGUGCAUUUCAUGGAGGACUUGAGCUGGGUAGACAUUUUUUAUCUGUCCGUUACAUCCGACAGCCGGUUAUGGGGACUACGCAUUCACGGCCUUGGCAGGAAGACGUUUCGCCAUAAUUUGGCUAGUGAUAAGCACAUUGGCAGUGGCCGGGGCGACUGAGCUGAGGAUCGACCAGAGGAAUCGUAGAAUCGCGAAAUGGGUUCUGCAGAAGAAGAUGACCCCUGGGAUCUAGUUGCUGCAGACCUGAUAACGAUGGAUCCAUCAGACAGCUAUCAACACAUUGCUGCUAUUGGAUAAACAUUAGAGCAAUAGACAUCAUUGGAACAAAAAGAUUCGGAAGAAAAUUUCAGAACUGACGCCUUAGGAGAUUCUCUUCUCCACAUUUGUGCACCCGAUAGAUAUAAAAGAACCAAGAAACGAGCUUCUCAUUUCCUUUAGUCCAAUAUGUAAUGCCAUUCUUAAACUUUUAAUAUAUUUAAUACAGUCUUUAGACAUUUUGUAUAUAUUUAGCUUAGUUCUUAAAUUGAAUGAAAAUGUUCUAUGUUAUCAUUCCA